AUUUCCCUGGAGUGCGCGUGAUUUAUGCCUCGGUGCUAACCUGACAAGUAGUAAAAAAGGGAGCCGUCCCUGUUUUUUGUGUGCAUGCCCGGCGUUGUGCGGGAAGCCUGAAAAAAACAUACCGGCGCCCGAUCUGGGUAACCAGGUUCUGCACCGCAUGCGUGCACGGCGCUCCGGGGUUUUU
rnacentral:other from 1 species